UGGGGAGUAGCCAAGUGGUAAGGCAUCGCCCUCUGGAGGCGACACCGAAGGUCCGAAUCCUUCCUCCCCAG
rnacentral:tRNA from 1 species